GAGAUGCUGGCCUAUUGCAGAUCGGACGUGGAUAUUCUUCGCCGCUGUUGUCUGGAGUUUCGAGCCCAGUUUUUGGAUGUGGCGGGUGUGGAUCCAUUCCAAUACGUGACCAUUGCGUCAGCCUGUAUGGCAACGUAUCGGAGUGGCCACAUUCAGCCCAACACGAUUGCCAUGGUGCCCACACACGGCUACGUCAACUCAACGAAUUACAGCCCUGAUUCGAUCCGGUGGUUGGACUUUGUUGCUGCUUCG